AACGAACGCUGGCGGCAGGCCUAACACAUGCAAGUCGAGCGAGACCUUCGGGUCUAGCGGCGGACGGGUGAGUAACGCGUGGGAACGUGCCCUUUGGUACGGAAUAGCCCCGGGAAACUGGGAGUAAUACCGCAUAAGCUCUUCGGAGGAAAGAUUUAUCGCUAUUGGAGCGGCCGAUAUCAGAUUAGCUAGUUGGUGGGGUAAAGGCCUACCAAGGCUACGAUCUGUAGUUGGUCUGAGAGGACGACCAGCCACACUGGGACUGAGACACGGCCCAGACUCCUACGGGAGGCAGCAGUGGGGAAUUUUGGACAAUGGGCGCAAGCCUGAUCCAGCAAUGCCGCGUGCAGGAAGAAGGCCUUCGGGUUGUAAACUGCUUUUGUCAGGGAAGAAAUCUUCUGGGCUAAUACCCCGGGAGGAUGACGGUACCUGAAGAAUAAGCACCGGCUAACUACGUG
rnacentral:rRNA from 1 species